GGGGUUGUGGCUCAGUGGUAGAGUGCCUGUCUUUCAUGCAGGAACUUAGAAAUUCAAUCCCU
rnacentral:tRNA from 1 species